rnacentral:rRNA from 1 species
CAGUCGCCGCGGGAAUACGUAGGGUGCAAGCGUUAAUCGGAAUUACUGGGCGUAAAGCGUGCGCAGGCGGUUUGUUAAGGCAGAUGUGAAAUCCCCGGGCUCAACCUGGGAACUGCAUUUGUGACUGGCAAGCUAGAGUGUGGCAGAGGGGGGUGGAAUUCCGCGUGUAGCAGUGAAAUGCGUAGAUAUGCGGAGGAACACCGAUGGCGGAGGCAGCCCCCUGGGCCAACACUGACGCUCAUGCACGAAAGCGUGGGGAGCAAACAGGAUUAGAUACCCGGGUAGUCCCUGUCUCUUAUAC